AGGGUUGUUCAAAUACUCUGAAGAUGCCAGAUCCCAUUUGAUCUCAGAUGCCAAUCAGGGUCAGGUUUGGUUAGUACCUGGAAGGGUGCCAUUUAGGAAUGUCAAGUGCUGACAGGU
rnacentral:rRNA from 1 species